UACGUAGGGGGCUAGCGUUGUCCGGAUUUAUUGGGCGUAAAGAGCUCGUAGGUGGUUCGGUAAGUCGGAUGUGAAAUCUCCAGGCUCAACCUGGAGGGGUCAUUCGAUACUGCCGUGACUAGAGUUCGGUAGAGGAGUGUGGAAUUCCUGGUGGAGCGGUGAAAUGCGUAGAUAUCCGGAGGAACACCGGUGGCGAAGGCGGCUUCCUGGACCGACACUGACGCUGAGGCGCGAAAGCUAGGGGAGCAAACGGG
rnacentral:rRNA from 1 species